rnacentral:lncRNA from 1 species
UGCCCUUUGCUCGAUGGUAGAUAGAUCUGACCGAUAAGGUCAAUUCCCCAACCUCUAAAUGGCCACGGCUUUAUUAUUGGUUUCAUAGCCAAGGCCGGUGCUCGUUGCACGUUGUCGAAUGUCUAACAAUCUUGACAUCCUUUAUAAUAUUUAAAACAAUCUUCAAGUAUUGUCGGCCAGUAAUACCCAUUGUUUUCUAAUCAUCCACUUCAUCUUGAAAGCCGAUUGAUGGGCCCCACAUACACCUUCAUGAAUUUCACCCAUCAAAGUUUUCGCUUCCUCCACUCCAAGGCAUUUGAG